rfam:Neotoma lepida isolate 417 scaffold_34504, whole genome shotgun sequence.
GUGNUCGCUUCAGCAGCACAUACGCUAAAAUUGGAACUAUACAGAGAAGAUUAGCGUGGUACCUGCGCAAGGAUGACACGCAAAUUCAUGAAGUGUUCCAUAUUUUU